rnacentral:rRNA from 1 species
GACGAACGCUGGCGGCGUGCUUAACACAUGCAAGUCGAACGGUGAAGCGCCUUCCUUUUUGGUGGGUGUGGAUGAGUGGCGAACGGGUGAGUAACACGUGAGUAACCUGCCCCCUUCUUCUGGAUAACCGCAUGAAAGUGUGGCUAAUACGGGAUAUUCUGGGUCUGUCGCAUGAUGGGUCUGGGAAAGAUAUUGUUUCGGUGGGGGAUGGGCUCGCGGCCUAUCAGCUUGUUGGUGGGGUGAUGGCCUACCAAGGCGGUGACGGGUAGCCGGCCUGAGAGGGUGGACGGUCACACUGGGACUGAGACACGGCCCAGACUCCUACGGGAGGCAGCAGUGGGGAAUAUUGCACAAUGGGCGCAAGCCUGAUGCAGCGACGCCGCGGGAGGGGUGGAGGCCUUCGGGUUGUGAACCUCUUUCGCCAGUGAAGCAGGCCUGCCUCGUUUGUGGGUGGGUUGACGGUAGCUGGAUAAGAAGCGCCGGCUAACUACGUG